UACGUAGGGUGCGAGCGUUAAUCGGAAUUACUGGGCGUAAAGCGUGCGCAGGCGGUUCGCCAAGUCAGGUGUGAAAUCCCCAGGCUUAACCUGGGAAUUGCGCUUGAAACUAGCGGGCUUGAGUGUGGCAGAGGGGGGUGGAAUUCCACGUGUAGCAGUGAAAUGCGUAGAGAUGUGGAGGAACACCGAUGGCGAAGGCAGCCCCCUGGGUCAACACUGACGCUGAGGAGCGAAAGCGUGGGGAGCGAACAGG
rnacentral:rRNA from 1 species